rnacentral:rRNA from 1 species
UACGUAGGGUGCGAGCGUUGUCCGGAAUUAUUGGGCGUAAAGGGCUCGUAGGCGGUUCGUCACGUCGGCUGUGAAACCUGGGCUCAACUCCGGGCCUGCAGCCGAUACGGGCGAACUAGAAUUCGGUAGGGGAGACUGGAAUUCCUGGUGUAGCGGUGAAAUGCGCAGAUAUCAGGAGGAACACCGAUGGCGAAGGCAGGUCACUGGGCCGCAACUGACGCUGAGGAGCGAAAGCAUGGGAGCGA